GCGGGUUUAGCUCAGUUGGGAGAGCGUCAGACUGAAGUAACACUUCAUCAUAUAUCUGAAGGUCAUGUGUUCGAUCCACAUAAACCGCA
rnacentral:tRNA from 1 species